rfam:Schistosoma haematobium scaffold868_70, whole genome shotgun sequence.
GCACUGCUGAGGAGUCCCAUACCUGGACGAAACGGUCGUCCAGUGC